rnacentral:misc_RNA from 1 species
CACCACUGCUGCCACCAUCG